rnacentral:tRNA from 1 species
AACUAUAGCCGGGCUAUUUUUGUCUUGAAAACAAAAUACAAGUGUUCGACUCACUUAAUAGUUU